rnacentral:rRNA from 1 species
GACGAACGCUGGCGGCGUGCUUAACACAUGCAAGUCGAACGGAAAGGCCCCUUUGGGGGUACUCGAGUGGCGAACGGGGGAGUAACACGUGAGUAACCUGCCCUUGACUUCGGGAUAACUUCAGGAAACUGGGGCUAAUACCGGAUAGGAAUCCUUGCUGCAUGGUGGGGGUUGGAAAGCUUCGGCGGUUUUGGAUGGACUCGCGGCGUAUCAGCUUGUUGGUGGGGUAGUGGCUUACCAAGGCUUUGACGGGUAGCCGGCCUGAGAGGGCGACCGGCCACAUUGGGACUGAGAUACGGCCCAGACUCCUACGGUAGGCAGCAGUGGGGAAUCUUGCACAAUGGGCGGCAGCCUGAUGCAGCAACGCCGCGUGCGGGAUGACGGCCUUCGGGUUGUAAACCGCUUUCAGCAGGGGCGAAGCUUGUGGUGACGGUACCUGCAGAAGAAGCACCGGCUAACUACGUG